rnacentral:rRNA from 1 species
GACGAACGCUGGCGGCGUGCUUAACACAUGCAAGUCGAACGGAAAGGCCCUGCUUGCAGGGUACUCGAGUGGCGAACGGGUGAGUAACACGUGGGUGAUCUGCCCUGCACUUCGGGAUAAGCCUGGGAAACUGGGUCUAAUACCGGAUAGGAGCCAUUUUUAGUGUGAUGGUUGGAAAGUUUUUUCGGUGUAGGAUGAGCUCGCGGCCUAUCAGCUUGUUGGUGGGGUAAUGGCCUACCAAGGCGGCGACGGGUAGCCGGCCUGCGAGGGUGGACGGCCACAUUGGGACUGAGAUACGGCCCAGACUCCGACGGGAGGCAGAAGUGGGGAAGAUUGCACAAUGGGCGCAAGCCUGAUGCAGCGACGCCGCGGGGGGGAUGACGGCCUUCGGGUUGUAAACUCCUUUCGCUAGGGACGAAGCUUUUUGUGACGGUACCUAGAUAAGAAGCACCGGCUAACUACGUG